CGGAGGCUGAACAGAGCCUCGUUAGGGCUGCUGGCCGCUUAAUUAACCCUUUAAUUAACAGUUUCCUCUUCUAACCAGGUGACCUCACUUCCUCUAACAGGUGAUCUCACUUCCUCUAACCAGGUGACCUCACUUCCUCUAACCAGGUGAUCUCACUUCCUCUAACCAGGUGAUCUCACUUCCUCUAACAGGUGAUCUCACUUCCU